rnacentral:rRNA from 1 species
UACAGAGGUCUCAACCGUUGUUCGGAUUCAUUGGGCGUAAAGGGUGCGUAGGCGGUCGCGCAAGUCGGAUGUGAAUCUCAGGCUCAACCCUGAAACUGCAUUCGAUACUGCGUGGCUAGAGUGCUGGAGAGGAGACUGGAAUUUACGGUGUAGCAGUGAAAUGCGUAGAUAUCGUAAGGAAGACCAGUGGCGAAGGCGAGUCUCUGGACAGCAACUGACGCUGAGGCACGAAGGCCAGGGGAGCAAACGGG